rnacentral:rRNA from 1 species
GCGUAUCAGAAUGAUGCCGUGAAUACGUUCCCGGGCCUUGUACACACCGCCCGUCACAUCACGAAAGUGGAUUGUACUAGAAGUCUGCAUGCCGACCGCAAGGGGGCAGCGGCCCAAGGUAUGAUUCAUGAUUGGGGUG